CGCAAAAAAAAGACCCCUUUGUGACUUCUUGUACUACUGUGUCGUCGAUUUGUACUGCGCACGAGCGACCCUGUUUUCUUUGGUACUCCGGAAUUCCUGGUACUCCACCUCCCGAACCCUGUUUUCUUUCCCGUCCCUCUCAUCCUGCCAGCGGCUGCUAUCGGAAGUACCAUGAGGAGCAUGCAGCCGGCGGCGGGGAACUUUGGUACUCCACCUCCCGAACCCUGUUUUCUUUCCCGUCCCUCUCAUCCUGCCGGCGGCGGCUAUCGGAAGUAGCACGAGGAGCCUGCAGCCGGCGGCGGGGAACUUUGGUACUCCACCUCCCGAACCCUGUUUUCUUUCCCGUCCCUCUCUUCCUGCCGGCGGCGGCUAUCGGAAGUAGCACGAGUAGCCUGCAGCCGGCGGCGGGGAACUUUGGUACUCCACCUCCCGAAUCCUGUUUUCUUUCCCGUCCCUCUCUUCCUGCCGGCGGCGGCUAUCGGAAGUAGCACGACGAGCCUGCAGCUGGCGGCGGGGAACUUUGGUACUCCAACCCUGUUUUCUUUCUCGUCCAUCUCUUCCUACCGGCAGCGGCUAUCGGAAGUAGCACGACGAGCCUGCAGCCGGCGGCGGGGAAUGGCGAGCGGUGGUCAGUGCAGCCCCCCCCCAUGCCCGCCGGCCAAGCUACGCCUACCCACCUCACCGCUUUUGUCGUCGCCGCCCUCUACCUCCCCGGCCUCAUCGCCUUCGCAAGGGCGAUUUUGUCCUGCUAGGGUGCCGCGGUGAUGAGGCAGUGGUAGAUGGGAGCCAUGGCGGAGGCGGAGCACGAGGGCUGCAUGGAGAACCAGGCGGUAUCGAGCUCCUCGGCCUCGAAGGGAGCAGCCAAUAGAUGUCCCGAUUCUGGAUUGUAGUGUCUACAUUUUUUGUUUCUUGGCGUAUAUUUUCGGCCUUGGAUCUUAUGCUGACCACUUCUAGGAAUUUGGUUCUAGGAUUCAGAUGUGGAAACCCAGAGAUGGCCGCACAAAAGCAGAUUGACCUUGUCAAGGUAGCUAUCAACGUUCAUCCAACGCCCGGGCUCCUCCUCAGCUGCAGCCAAAGAGCUCUCCAGCUAUGGAGCAAACUGAACAAUGGGGAAAGGUGAUUUCAAACAGCAAUCCAGUUGACUUUCCCUAUAUUUUUCUUAAAUGUGGUUAGAAAGGAGCAAUAGAAGCAAUCUCUCAUGUCGCUGGCAAGAUAACUGUUUCAUCACCAAAUUUGGGGUGGAUCUAGGCAAACUGUAAGGCCACUGUCCAAGGAGUAUGUGGUGAAAAAGAAUGAUAGAAUUGACUUAAUGGCAAUGGUGGGAGUGUUUGGAUCAGUUUUCAGUGGCAUACAAUACAAAUGUAUCCUUGGAAUAAAUCUAAUGAUAUUCUAUUAAAAUGAUCCCUUCUUACACCAUUUGCAUGACUUUCCAUCGAUUUUGAUACGCACUGCAUUAUGUUUCAUUUUUGAGAUUGCAUAUUAUUCUCCUUCACGUUAGCACAGAAGUAUUCUUGAGUGAGAAGAACUUUAUUCUAUUAAAUGGAAUGUUGAUCCGUAAGUCCCUCACUGUUUCUAAAUUUCCCCAAACUUUUGUACACAUAGAACAUUUGUAAUGGAAAAUAUAUAAGGUGCACCAUAGAGAAAGUAUACUCCUGAAUAACAAGGCAUGUUUGGUGUAGGCGUGUAUCUAAUUGAUGUACAUCCAUGUCUCCAGUUGUGUAUCAACUUGUUUCACUAUUCUAGAUUGUAAAGAUCACAUGAGAAGUCGUUUUGAAAAUCAAAUAAAACAGCGCAAAGCUAAACGUGCUGCAAUGGGUAAGAAGGUUAAAUUUGCCAAGGAUAAGGGAGUGGUGACGAGUAUUCGUAUGAAGUUUCCUUGGAUUAAUAUUUCCUGACUUCUUUGGAAUAUGGGGAUGCCACCUUCUUCUGGAAUGGUAUGAUCCUUAAAAUUGUCUGCAAUUGUUUUUUCUCGUGGUGUAAUUUUAUCUCUAGCAAGUUUUCACUCAACUAUUUGUCAUUUAUUAUUAAAUUAUGUGGCUUGUGCGAAAUAAUUGUGUGGAACCUUUGAACUUAUAGGGCAUUGGCAUCGACCGGCUAGCAAUGUUGUUGAUAAACUCUGCUAGCAUAAGGGGUGUUAUGCUUUUCCUGUUCUGAAGCUUCAGCAAUAGGACCUUUGCUCGGGGUAAGAAGAGAUGCAAUUUUGACAAUGCUGGUAAGAAAUUCUGCCAACAGAUCCUUUAUACCAUUAUAUAGAUAUUGCCUACUGCUUCAUUGGUAAAUGGACGGUUAGGAGGGCCAAGGCUCCAGUCGGGAUUUGUUCUUAGGAAAAAUUGUCGAUAGGUCCCAACACUGGUAUUAAAAAUGAUUCACAUUAUUCUGGUUUCCUACAACCAUCUCGCUGAUGCAGGAAUGCUAUGGAUGUGUUGUUUUGACCCACUUUCGUGCUGACUAAAUGACCUCUUGCUAUGCUUUCAGGGGAUUUGACAAUUUACCACCCUUUUGUUUGCAAUUUGAUUAUUUUUCCAGAGCUGCAAAAAUCACUGGAUUAGCUUAUUAAAAACGUCCAUUUGCAAUCAGCUUGCUUUGUAACUAUUUCUUAAGCAAAAGAUUAUAACCUUUCUUACAUCGGGGAUUGACAGUACAUCAUCUUCCCGAACACAAAGAUCCACCCUUCCUUGUUGCGUAGAAAAAACCUGGUUAGCUGCAUACAGGUCAUAGCAUUUGGUAGUCGUCAAAUAUGGGUUAUACACACAUGCCCAAAUAUAUUUAUUUCACUUGUAAAUGCCUUUUUCUUUCAGUAGAAAAAAGAUUUGUUUUAAUGCUUUCUUGGUUGAGAGUGCAGAUUCAUACUAAUUAACAGAAGGCAAAAUCUUCAGUUAUUGGCAGAGCUAGACUUGAGUGACACACCUGGAGCCUGGAGAUGCCACCAUCGGUGAUUCUCUCCAUUGACAAGUGAGGACGGGAUCUUUUGCCUUACCAGGUAUCUUAUAUAUGCGGCAAUGGAUAUCUUCAUUUAGUUACUAAAGAUCUUUCAAGGCAGUCAGAAUGUCUGAAUGGUAUCAUUAGACCCCAAUCCUAUUUAGAAUUUGCAAAUACUUAGUUUGCCCUUUGUAUCAUCGACCAAUGCAUCCAAAGUGAACUCACUCUAGAACUAAGUAUUUGCAAAUUCACUUUACAUAUAUCGACCAAUACUUAGUUUGCUCUUUGUAUCAAUGACAAGGUUUCUACCUGGUUGUGAGUUAAGGACUAUUUUUGUUCAAGCAUCGUUUCAAACUUGUUUGUAAAGUGAACUGUGUAACGAUCGUUACAUGUAUCAGCCACUUUUUGUAUUUUCGUCAAGAAAAAUCAAAUGUUCACGUUCUUUUCUGGUAA